AACACGAGACGCGUCGACCGGUACUGCAGUUCUCUCCCCUUGCUCGUCCCUGGCACUGCAGGCACGCGACUCCGGAGCUCACAGGGGACGGAACUCUGCACGCGCCUGUCUGGUUCCGGGGUGAGUGACGCCCAGAUCAAACGCGUCGUGCCGGCGUGAGGCGAAUACCGCUAGCUGUAGAUCAGGUCUCGUUGUACCUAGCUGCUCACCUACAGGCGCACUUAGCAGACCAGUGGCCGGUCACCGCUAGUCAGACGACUGGACAGUAAAGUGGGCAGUCCUCUAAUUAAUUAGAUUAUCGGUUCACGUCUUCGUUUUCAUUGCUGCAGACAUCUGCUCUGAUCAGCUCGAAACUUGAAAGCACCAUAAAUCACUGCUGCUUCUGAUAGACGUUAUAAAUUAUGAGAUAUACCCCCAGCUGUGAGAAGUUUGAAAGCAUUGUAUCUGUCUGAACAAUUUAUAUUAUUAUUAGGUAAACAUCGUACUUACCGUACAUGAACCUGUGGAUAAAGAGUAUUGCUUGCCAACAGAAAUAUUUUCAGACUGAGAUUGUGUGCUAAAAGAACCUCCCCCUGUUCAAUGUGGCCACAAUAGAGUACCACCUGAGAUUUCGAAGGCUUUUAUCUAAGAAAGUCCAAUAGUACUUACUGUUACCUGAAUAAGACAGAUCCCUCUGUGGGGACUUACGACCUCAGAAUCCCCAACAGUUUAGCAGAGAGUUUUUGAAGGGUGUGCACAUUAAUAUAGCACGCUUGGUUUCUGAGAAAUAUUUCUAUACCUGGAUUGGGAGCCACGGACGACACUUUUUUCAACGUCAGUGAGUGUGGGAGAAAUCUGAGACUGACCAGUCGACGUCCGCCCCUCAUCGCGUCCAGCAGACGACAUGACUGAGGGUAGAGGGCGCCAUUCCCAGGCCAGAUCGUGAGGGCGCGACAUGACCCCUGACCUCUCGGACGAGAGCAGACGUGUCAGGUCGGAGUGGACACUUGUUUGGACGACUGUCUUAUCGCGGUCUGUACACACUUUAACACACUCACGUCUCCCUGUGGUCAGUGCUGUGUCCACCACAAACUCAUUUCUCGCUUGUGGGUUCUAAUUACAGCAAUCGGCGCCGGCACCUUGGCACCUGAAUCACCGUCGCCUUCUUCUUCGUCAUCGUCGUUGUCGUUGCCGUGUUGGUAGCUGACGUCAUCAGACUUUGUGGAUACCUGAAACACUCCACCUCCGCUCUCAAGGGUUCUAAUUACUGCAAUCGGCGCCGCACCUUGGCACCUGAGUCAUCGUCGCCUUCUUCAUCAUCGUCUUCGUCAUCGUUGUCGUUGUUGUCGUUGUCGUCGUUGCUAUGUUGGUAGCUGACGUCAUCAGACUUUGUGGAUACCCGAGACUCCACCUGCUGACCUGUCGCUUGCCGUCCGUCGGGAUAUGAGCUCUGGAUGAAAGCAUGUUCGAAGCAGAGAAAUCGGGUUUUUUCACUCCGUGCACGGGAAAUAAUACGCCUAUUCGGGAAUGGGACGAUUUUCUACUGGACCGUUCCUACACUGUGUGAUUCUCACCUUGGCUACAAUGCACACAG